rnacentral:rRNA from 1 species
UAGGGAAUCUUCCGCAAUGGGCGAAAGCCUGACGGAGCAACGCCGCGUGAGUGAUGAAGGUCUUCGGAUCGUAAAACUCUGUUAUUAGGGAAGAACAAAUGUGUAAGUAACUAUGCACGUCUUGACGGUACCUAAUCAGAAAGCCACGGCUAACUACGUGCCAGCAGCCGCGGUAAUACGUAGGUGGCAAGCGUUAUCCGGAAUUAUUGGGCGUAAAGCGCGCGUAGGCGGUUUUUUAAGUCUGAUGUGAAAGCCCACGGCUCAACCGUGGAGGGUCAUUGGAAACUGGAAAACUUGAGUGCAGAAGAGGAAAGUGGAAUUCCAUGUGUAGCGGUGAAAUGCGCAGAGAUAUGGAGGAACACCAGUGGCGAAGGCGACUUUCUGGUCUGUAACUGACGCUGAUGUGCGAAAGCGUGGGGAUCAAACGGG